UUAGUUCAGAAGAUAAAUAACAUUGCUAAAUAAAAUAAGCAUCUUUAUUUACAUAUUUGUUAUUUUUAUUUUACAAUAUUUUAUAUAUUUUUAAACUCAAUAGAGUAAAGUUCUUGUGUAAUGAGUAUUACUGUUUCUGUGUUUUUCAUAGUCAUUCCCUUUUACAGUAACCUUUUGUAUAUGAGAUUGUAGAUGAGAAUUUAAAUCGUGAUAUUGAAUCUUACUAGAGAAUAAAGAAACCGUUUACCUCAACCAGAGUUAUAUUUCAUAGAAUUAUGUUGACUAUGAUCCAAAUAUUGCCAUGGAUGUGCACUUGUGUCUUAGGUUUAUGCUUUGCAAAAGGUUCACCAUCGCCCUUAAGUUGCUGUGGGUUUUACGGUUUUACUUCCAACCUGGCAUAUAAAUGCACUUAGUAUCUGAAGUUAUUUGUCAAUAACUGGUGAUCAGACUUUCAAACGAACACGUUUUUAAGGGCUGAGAAGGUUAGUUUAUUAUCUUUGUUGUAAUAGCUCUAAACUUGACUGUUUCAAUAUUUUCAUUAUAUAUCAUUGCCUGU
rnacentral:lncRNA from 1 species